ACUCAAUCUACGACAAAUUGAGUCAGACACUCGCUUCUGAAUCAGUGAAUCACUGUCAGAACCAGAUUCAGGACCUGGUAACCACUGUGUGCGUGUGUGGCAGCGACUGCUAAUG
rnacentral:ribozyme from 1 species